CGCUUCCUACGGGGGGCAGCAGUGGGGGAUAUUGCACAAUGGGGGAAACCCUGAUGCAGCGACGCCGCGUGUGGGAAGACGGUCUUCUGGAUUGUAAACCACUGUCCCCAGGGACGAAGAUGACGGUACCUGGGGAGCAAGCCACGGCUAACUACGUGCCAGCAGCCGCGGUAAUACGUAGGUGGCAAGCGUUGUCCGGAAUUACUGGGUGUAAAGGGAGCGCAGGCGGGAAGCCAAGUCAGCUGUGAAAACUACGGGCUUAACUUGUAGACUGCAGUUGAAACUGGUUUUCUUGAGUGAAGUAG
rnacentral:rRNA from 1 species